CCGGUCCACAUGGGAGAGCCCUCUCCGUUCCCCGGAAUCGAGAGGCGCCGAAGGCGCAACUUCCGCCCGGAAACGCUCAGGCAAAAGGACCGUGUGGUUACC
rnacentral:ncRNA from 2 species